rnacentral:tRNA from 1 species
UCUGAAAUAACUCAGUCGGUAGAGCGUCAAACUAUAAAUAAUCGAAAGGUCCUGGGUUCGAUCCCGGGUUCCGGCA